AUGGUUUCGUCAAUGAAGCAGUACAGAGAUGAGGCCGAUGCACCAUCGUCCCUCUCCCUCUCGCUCUCCCUCGGCGCCGUGGCCGACCGCAGCAGCAAGAAGAUACGCCGCGGCGGCGCGGACGGCGAGUUCGUGUGCAAGACGUGCGGCCGCUCGUUCCCGUCGUUCCAGGCGCUGGGCGGGCACCGGACAAGCCACCUCCGUGGCCGCCACGGCCUCGCGCUCGGCCUCACUUCCGGGCCGGGGACCAAGAAGACCACGGACGAGAAGCGGGCGCACCAGUGCCACGUCUGCGGGCUGGAGUUCGAGAUGGGGCAGGCGCUCGGUGGCCACAUGCGCCGGCACCGCGAGCAGGAGUCUGCCACCACGGCGCAGGCGCCGCCCGUUCUGCUCCAGCUCUUCGUCUAG
rnacentral:rRNA from 1 species